rnacentral:rRNA from 1 species
AAUGAACGUUGGCGGCGUGGAUUAGGCAUGCAAGUCGCGCGAGAAGCCCUUCGGGGCGGACAGCGGCGGAAGGGAGAGUAACGCGUGGUUAUGUACCCCCAGGACCGGGAUAGUAGCGGGAAACUGCUAGUAAUACCGGAUAACAUCUAAGGAUCAAAUGGUGUGAUUCCGCCUGGGGAUCGGACCGCGUACUAUUAGCUUGUUGGCGGGGUAAUGGCCCACCAAGGCUGCGAUGGUUACCGGGUGUGAGAGCAUGGCCCGGCUCACUGGGACUGAGACACUGCCCAGACACCUACGGGUGGCUGGAGUCGAGAAUCUUCGGCAAUGGGCGCAAGCCUGACCGAGCGACGCCGCGUGCGGGAUGAAGGCCCUCGGGUUGUAAACCGCUGUCGUAGGGGAGGAAGGCUCCGUGAAGAACGGGGUUUGACCUAUCCUAGGAGGAAGUACGGGCUAAGUUCGUGCCAGCAGCCGCCGUAA